CUGAAUCAGAAGCAGACCCACAAGUAAACAUCAACAGUUUCCUCUUUUGAAAACCAUAAAAUCUUUAACUCGAAAGUACCGUAAAGAGCUCAACUUACCCGUCUUGUCUUUGACAACUUUCUCGUCAUUCUGUGAGUAAAGUAUCUCACAGCAACUCAGUCCAAAAGGUGUGACAUGAAACAAGAGAUUCCCUUCGUGUCUGAAAACAAGAAUGUCGCCGACCUGAAGAUUGUGACCCACCGCAAAUUCUUCCCAUCCUUUGGUCAUUCUUCGGCCGUCUAUCUUAAUAUUCCAGGUGAUCUCCGACGCGUCUGAUCUAAGUUCUGCAGCGUUUCCCUCUUGUCUUCCCUCUAAGUAUUUCGAAUAAAAAGCUUUAGGAAUCAACUGCAAACAAAGAAGAACAGAGUAAAACAAAAUGUAAGAAAAAUAAAAUCUAACAACAUGCAGAGAGAAACAGAGAGGGAGAUUACAAUAUAGGUUUUGAAGCCUGGAAGAAUAGGCUUCAAGAAGUGUGGCUUGGCCGAAGAAGAGAACAUUGAAUUAGCCAUUGAUGAACCCAGCAAAUGUAACCAGUAACCCUAAGUAUCUUCAGAUUUCAGUGAACAUAUAUAGGGGAAACACAGCCUGUCGGGUCUUUUCGUUUUCCCAACAUUGUUCUGUCUGAAUUCGUCAUCACAUGUUUUGAAGAAUAGGCUUCAAGAAGUGUGGCUUGGCCGAAGAAGAGAACAUUGAAUUAGCCAUUGAUGAACCCAGCAAAUGUAACCAGUAACCCUAAGUAUCUUCAGAUUUCAGUGAACAUAUAUAGGGGAAACACAGCCUGUCGGGUCUUUUCGUUUUCCCAACAUUGUUCUGUCUGAAUUCGUCAUCACAUGUUUUUAUUUUAUUUUUAAUAAUUUUUUUUUUGUGCAACUUUUUAGUAAUCAAACGGGAAAUCAGCUUGUCGGAUGCUCUCGAGUGAUCAUUAGAAAUUUUUCGGAUUCGGAUACCUUUCGGUAAAGCUGUAAUAAAUAGCACUAGAUUGUGUACCCUCGCGUUGCGCGGAUUUAAUUUAAAAUUUUCAUUUUUUGUGUAUAAAUAUAACCAAUUGAAUUUUAGAAGAUUUUACUUUAUUUAUGUGCAUUAUAUUUUCAAAGUAGUAAAAAGUUUCUCACAUUUUUCACUAAAUUUUAUUUCGUUAUCUUCUAUGAUUCACUCGUAGUCUCUUGACAUUUACUCUUUUUUUCUCCAUAGAUCGUAUCUAUUUUCUCUGGAGAGAUGUUUGUCAUAAGGUUUCUUCGACCAAUUUUUGGUGCAUUUAAAAUUGCUUCAUAGACACCAAAUCUCACAUAUGGACUCAUUCCUAUUCACAAACAUAGGUUUCAGCGUGAAAUUUUGCACUUUAUCUCGACCAUCAGAAAAAUACAAAAUUCUCUUUCUACAUAUAUAAUUUAACAUAGAUUAUGAUUAAAAAUAGUAUUCUUAAUGUUGAUUUUGCUAAAAUGUGACACUUACGAACUCAUAUAAAUUAUUCUAAUUUUAAAAUUCAUUUAUUCAAAAAACUCUUCAAUCUACCGUUACUAUUCUAAUUUUCAAAUAGCAUUCUUAGAUAUUAUUAUUACACAGUUUUAUUAUUCUAUAAGAUUAUUUUAGUUUUAUUUUUGAUGUUUAGGAUAGGUUUUUGCUUUAUUUCAAAUCACCUUAGUUUUUUUAAUUUGUUAAUUUCCUAAACACUGAUUAAUAUUUAUUUUUCUUUUUUUUAAGUAUUCAUUUAAAAAAGAAACAAAGAACCAGUUUUUAAUUUAGAAAACAUUAAUAAUAUAGAAAAAAAUUAUUAAUUUAACUAUUUAUAUUAUAUUAUAAUGAUAAAUAAUAAUAUGUUUUCGAUCCUUCAUAUUUUUGAAUCGGUACUCAAAUUUUAAAUGCCUAUUUUUCAGAAAUGAACUUUUUAUUUUAAUUAAAACCCUUUAAAUUUGGUAUUUUUAAACUCUUAUUUUCAUUACUCUACUAAAUAAUUGUAACACUUAUAAAUAUUUUUUGUACCACUAAAAUAUAUGAUAAGUUUCUUUUUUUACUAUCUCUAACUAUUUUAAAACAUUUACUCAUUAUAUAUUAAAAUAUAAUUAUCUAUUCAAAAUUUUCAAAUUUUCAGUUGUCUAUUGAAUUUUUUCUUUUUUCAUAAUAUUUAAUUUAAUUUUUGUCAAAUAUUUUUUUAGUUUAAUGUGUGAAUUAAUUUUAAUUUUAUAGUUUUUUGUUUUAAUAAAUAAAAUAUGUGGAACCUACAAAAAAAGAAAAUAUGAUGACAUAGAUGAUGAUGUGGACACCCUAGAUAGAAAGAGAACUCUCUAAUUAUAUAUAUAGAUUUCGCAUAAAACCUUUUUUUAUAUAGUUUAUUUUUAAUGUUUAAGGUUAUAUAAUCAUCCAUGUAAUUUGAUAUUUUUUGCUAAAAAUAAAUUUUGGAGAAGAAAUUAGAACGAUUCAGAAUCAAAAUUAAGUUCUUGUAAGUUCUGAAUGAGCAAAUAUGCUUUCUUUAUUUGAGUAGAAUAUUUCUAAGGGUUUCAAUGGAUGUUUAGGGUAGAGCGGACAAAACUAUUAGCGGACUUGGCCACUAUAUCUUUGGAGCAGACAACAAUAAUCCAUAGACCAAGUUCAUUUCCAUGUAAAAGCGGUCCGUAGUUGGUCUCCGGUAGAUUUCUUCUAGUUUUCUCGAUCCGUACCACUACGGAUCUAUACUAGUAUUUUUACAGUCACUUUGGUGACGGGUGGGUAAAAAUAUUUCCGGUUUAUUUGGAUAUCCGAGCCGUUUCAAAAAAUCUUUCACAAAAAAAUUUGUUCGGUCGGGUUAUAUUUAACCCAACUCAUACACCGGAUAUUCUAUAUUUAAUAAUUUAGAUAUUUAAAAGAUUUGAUUAAGAUUUAUAAUUAUGAUUCUCCUAUCAUCUUUGUUUGAUUUGUUUUUUAAGUGUUUUAAAUCAUCAUAUAAUACAUAAAGUUAAAAACAAAUCAAUUUUUUAAAUGCAUAUACUGUGAUUCGAAAUUUUAAAAAUGGACAUAUAUUAUCCAAUUGACACUACAAAAAAACAGUCGUUUUGCGAGGGAAUUGCAAGUAAUUUGCUACGAAAACGACGCGCGUCGCACUUCCGUCACACAAUUUGCGAGGGAAAGUUUUCUCGCAAAAUUGCGAGGGACUUACGAGUACUUUGCGAGGAACAAUAUACUCUAUCGCAAAUCUCCCGCACAUACCUCGCAAAUCUUUACCCUAAACCCUAAAAUACAUAAAAAUGUUUUGCGAUCUUUGAUUUUUAUUUAUAAAUAUGAAUCUAAGAGACCAUAUAAUCAGACAAGUUGAAUAUAUGGUGAUGCAUAAAAAAAUGUUGUAUAGGUUUCAAUAUUAACAUUUUAUUUUGAAAAUGUUAUAAACAUUGAUUCAUAUUAUAUAAAAACAUAAGAUCAUCAUUGAUGUAUUUGAGGAAAAUGCACAUUCGGACGAAUUCAAAGUAUAUGAUGAGAAAGUACAUUCUAAUGACUCAAAAAAAUGAAUCCGAAUGAUUUUUAGUAGUGUUUUGUUGUUUUUUUCAAAUUGAUUCUAUUUUGCGAGGGUUUUGCGAGGGGUACUAGUAAUUCCCUCACAAAACUAAACCCUAAUUCAAGAGUUUGCGAGGGAAUUGCAUGGCUUUCGUAGCACUUCCCUCGCAAAUCUUUACCCUAAACUCUAAAAAAAUAAAAUUCAAAUUAAAUCUUUCAUUUUUCAUGAGAGAUUUGCUACAAUUAUCCAUCACAACACGUUUUCAACUUUUAGUAACUUUUAGUUACAUUGGUUUUCAAUAUAUCCAAGGGUUUUGCGAGGGAAUUGCGAGGGACCAUAGCAAUUCCCUCGCAAAAGUGGACACCACUUGCGAGGGAUUUGCUAUGAUCCCUUGCAAAUUUCUCGCAAAACUUCAAAAAAAAUAUGAAAAUUUUUUAAGGUUUUUUAUUCCAAAACGUUUUAAACAUUUCCAAAACGUUUUAAACAUUGCGAGAGAUUUGCUAUGGUGCCUUGCAAUUCUCUCGCAAAUAUUUUCAGUUUUUUCGCGGUUCAAUUUUUUGGCGGAAAUUUUAAAAUUUUUGGCAAAUAUUUCAAAACAUUUGCGAGGGAUUUGCUAGGUAUCCCUCGCAACUCCCUUGCAAAUUGUUUUCAGUUUUUCGCGCUUCAACGUUUUGGCGGAAAUUUCAAAAAUUUUAGCGAAAAUUUUCAAAAUUUUUGCUUGAGAAUUGCUAGGGAAUUGCGACGGUAUAAAUAUAUAUAUAAGUGAUUGCAUGUUUGAGCUAUGCUCAAACAUCUCUCAUUUCCUCUUACUUAAAAACUCUUCUCUCACUCAUUCACAUCUCAUUUCCUCUUACUUAAAAAGUCUUCAUUCCUCAUUCACAUCUCUUCAAAGGUAUGUUUUUUAAUUUCAUUGUUAGAUUUAUGUAUAGAUUUGUAUUAUUAUAGUUUUAGAUUUAGGAGUUUGCUAGUUUUAAAAUUAGAAAAUUAGGAUGUCUAGAUUUAGAUUAUUGUGAAAGGUAUUGGAUUUGUUAGUUUUGGAUUUAGAAAUUUAGUUUUAUAUUAGGAUUGGAAUUUUAAAUUAUUUUAGGUUUCAUUUAGAAAUUGAAUUGUUAAUUUUUAGAAUUUUUUAGUAUGGAAUUUUAGAUUAUAUAUUAAUAACUAAUUUUCAAAUUUAAAUUGUUAUUAUUUUUAAAGAUUAUUAAUUUUAGAAAACUUUUAAGGAUUUUCUUAAAUUUGACUUAAAACUUUCUUAUUGUAUUUUGAAUAUUAUUAUGCAUUAUAGAAAAUAAUGUCCCAAGUUGAUGACAUUCAUGAGUAUGCUACUAAAAAAAUUCAGAUAAAUAGGAGUUAUAAAAGUUAAGGACUUCUUACAAAUGAAUCAUUUCGUUGGUUUGAAGCUGUGCCAGGGACCACAAAGAUUGUGUCGUGUGAUGAAGAACACACUUUUUGUGGAUCUUUCUUCAGUAAUCCAUCUCUUUUAAGCUUUCCUGAUUCCACAUUCGUCUCUUCUUUCACAGUCUCAUGUUCUACUUCUUGCUUAAUCUUCUUCGAGUGGUUUCCUGGUUAGAAAAGGUUCCCUCAUAAGCAUUUCAUUCCUAACUACAUAUAAAAGCAAGAGAGUGCUGAACUUACCAAUGUUGUCCUCAUCUCUCUCCAAAGGAUAAAUCCGGAGCACGGGUGGUUUUCCUUUUCGGGCCAAUAUGGGUCUCAAGAAACAACCAGUUUUAAAACCAUUCCUGCAGCAGAAAGCUCUCCAACCUCAGCUGACACAAAACCGAUUACUUGAUUUAUGGUAACACAGUUUUAGCGUCGAUGGCCUGCUUUUUUCAUCCAUUAGAAUUAUCUCAUUGCACAGUUUACUCAAACCACUUGAGGUGGUAAAACCUCUUGGAAGAUACUGCAAAGAAAAUAUCCCAAGUUGAUAGCAAUAUUAAUUUCAUUCCACAAAUUCAAUUCUAAACAAGGUAUAGAAUGAAGGACUUAUUACAAAUGAAUCAAGUCGUUGGUUUGAGGCGGUGACAGGGACCACAAAAUCAGUGUCCACUGAUGAACACUCAUUUUUUGCCGUUUUCUUCACCGUUUUAUAUCGUGUAACCUUUCCUGAAUCAGAAGCAGACCCACAAGUAAACAUCAACAGUUUCCUCUUUUUUUUUUUUUUUGAAUAAAAUGUUAAAUUAAAUUCAAAAAAGAAAAUAACGUUUUUACAACAAGUGCCACUUUUAGUUAAGAGUUUUUGUCAGAAAAACAAUUCUUAAAAUUUGAAAAUGAAAUAGAUCACGAUCUUGAUUGGAACCAGAAUUGGAGUGCCUUGUCGAAGCGAGCAUCUCCACUUGAUUUGAUUGUUGUGAUUUGAUUCCUCAUUUGUUUAUCAAUCCAAGUGAUUAGGCGAGCACCUGUAUUCAGCGGUUCACCAUGUCUACGACCAUUCCUUUCACGCCAUAUCAUAUGAAUUGCAGUCUGAAAAAGGUAGCGAGCGACGAAGCUCUCAACUCGAUCUUGCCACUGACCCGAGACAGUAACAAUUAGAGCUGACCAGUUUGUUGAGUAUUUUGCCUUGUAGAUGUUUUUUGCUAGAUUUUCCCAAACUUCAGUUGCAAAUCUGCAAGAAAAAAAUAAGUGAUCCCUCGUUUCUAGGUUGUUGUUGCAAAGUACACAUGUUGAUUGCAACCCUCUAUUCCAUUGAAUCAAACGAUCUCCGGUUGAGAGUCUAUUUUUAACAGCUAGCCAAGCGCAAAAGGAGAAUUUUGGUGUUGCGUGUGGAAACCAAAUUCCAUUGUGCCAUGAGACCUUGUUCAACACUGUUCGGAUCUGAUUCCAUGUGUCUCUUGUGCAGAAUUUUGUCUGAUACAUAUUGUUCUUCCCCCUCCAGAGAACCAUAUCAGCCUCCUCUACACGUUUAAGCCUCUGUGAAAGAAGAGUUUCCUCUAUCUGAUUCAGAAUCACUGUUCUAUGUCGUCUUCUCCGUAGGUCAGACCAAGCUUCAGCUACAGUCGCAUUCUUCCUUACUCCUAGGUCGAUUACUCCCCUCUCUCCGACUGCGUCCAUCAAGCAGCCUAGCUGUGACCAAUUCUCAUACCAAAACGAUGCUCUAUUUCCGUUUUUUACUUCAACUUUACAAAACUCUUUUGCUUUAGCUCUGUAUUUCAGUAAUUUAGCCCACAUCCACGAGCCAUGAUUUGUUGUUGCUCUUACCGACCAGAAAUUAUUACUUUUGAGAAGGUACUUAUCAAUCCAUCUUACCCAUAAUGAAAACCAUAAAAUCUUUUGAAAACCAUAAAAUCUUUAACUCGAAAGUACCGUAAAGAGCUCAACUUACCCGUCUUGUCUUUGACAACUUUCUCGUCAUUCUGUGAGUAAAGUAUCUCACAGCAACUCAGUCCAAAAGGUGUGACAUGAAACAAGAGAUUCCCUUCGUGUCUGAAAACAAGAAUGUCGCCGACCUGAAGAUUGUGACCCACCGCAA
rnacentral:lncRNA from 1 species